AUUGAACGCUGGCGGCAGGCCUAACACAUGCAAGUCGAGCGGAGCGGCGGACGGGUGAGUAAUGUCUGGGAAACUGCCUGAUGGAGGGGGAUAACUACUGGAAACGGUAGCUAUUACCGCAUACUCAUAGAUGAGCCUAAGUCGGAUUAGGUAGUUGGGGGGGUAAAGGCCUACCCAGGCGACGAUCUGUAGCGUGUCUGAGAGGAUGACCCGCCACACUGGGACCUGAACACGGCCCCAACCCCUGCGGGGGGCCGCAGUGGGGAAUAUUGGACAAUGGGGGGCACGCUGAUCCAGCCAGGCCGCGUGUGAGGAGAAGGCCUUACGGUUGGAAAGCUCUUUAAGCGAGGAGGCGUUACUCGCAGAAUAAGCACCGGCUAACUCCGUGCCAGCCGCCGCGGUAAUUC
rnacentral:rRNA from 1 species